UACAGAGGGUGCGAGCGUUGUUCGGAAUUAUUGGGCGUAAAGCGCUUGUAGGCGGCUUGUUAAGUUCCGUGUGAAAUCCCCAGGCUUAACCUGGGAAGUGCGCGGAAAACUGGCGAGCUUGAGUGCCGGAGAGGGUCGCGGAAUUCCCGGUGUAGAGGUGAAAUUCGUAGAUAUCGGGAGAACACCAGUGGCGAAGGCGACUACCUGGCCUGUUCUUGACGCUGAGGCGCGAAAGCUAGGGGAGCAAACGGG
rnacentral:rRNA from 1 species